UGCGUAGGCGGAAAAGUAAGUCAGUAGUGAAAUCCCGCAGCUUAACUGUGGAACUGUUAUUGAUACUGGUUUUCUUGAAUAUAGUUGAGGUAGGCGGAAUGUGUAAUGUAGCGGUGAAAUGCUUAGAUAUUACACAGAACACCGAUUGCGAAGGCAGCUUACUAAGCUAUGAUUGACGCUGAGGUACGAAAGCGUGGGGAGCGAACAGGAUUAGAUACCCUGGUAGUCC
rnacentral:rRNA from 1 species